CAUCGACCAGGGUACCAGGGCUACGGUGAUGAGGAUGAGGACGACAGCCCCCACUACCCGCCACAGCAUCGGCCCUAUGAAGAGGAGGACGAUGGCUGCUGUGGCUGCCACUGCUCCGGGUUCUUCAAAGGAUGUUUGGCCGCUCUCUGCUGCUGCUGCGUGCUGGAGCAAUGCUGCUUCUGAGAUGUUUGAUCAAACUGGCAUCCAGUUCCAAGCUAUCGUUUCUACCUUCUAGCAUUGUGGAGCAUAUACCAUGCUUUUUAAAUCGAUGUGAUAAUAAGAGGACAGUGUUGAUGAUAAGCAUUCAGACGACAGUGUUUAUUUGUCUCUGUCACAAUAAAAUAAAGGUGUAUGCGCAUACGAUUUGGACGCCUCGUCGUUCUUUUUUUCCUGAUUGAUCUUUGAUGUUCUAUGAUUAUUGAAGUUUCCUUA